rnacentral:rRNA from 1 species
GACGAACGCUGGCGGCGUGCUUAACACAUGCAAGUCGAACGGAAAGGCCCCUUUGGGGGUACUCGAGUGGCGAACGGGUGCGUAACACGUGAGUAACCUGCCCUUGACUUCGGGAUAACUUCAGGAAACUGGGGCUAAUACCGGAUAGGAAUCCUUGCGGCAUGGUGGGGGUUGGAAAGCUUCGGCGGUUUUGGAUGGACUCGCGGCUUAUCGGCUGGUUGGUGGGGUAGUGGCUUACCAAGGCUUUGACGGGUAGCCGGCCUGAGAGGGCGACCGGCAACAUUGGGGCUGAGAGACGGCCCAGACCCCUACGGUAGGCAGCAGUUGGGAAUAUUGCACAAUGGGCGGAAGCCUGAUGCAGCAACGCCGCGGGCGGGAUGACGGCCUUCGGGUUGUAAACCGCUUUCAGCAGGGGCGAAGCUUGUGGUGACGGUACCUGCAGAAGAAGCACCGGCUAACUACGUG